rnacentral:rRNA from 2 species
UAAGAAGUACGAAUUACAGAUACAACGAGUACCAUGUUAUCGAAUGCAUAUUGCGUCGUUGGGUUUUGCCCUUCGACAUGUGCGAUUCAGGGUGU